rnacentral:lncRNA from 1 species
CUGCACAUACGGUGCGACGCUACAUCAUGUACAACCAGAGAAAUGAAAAGUUCUGCUGCAUUUGUACAAUGAAUCAAAAUGCAUUCUGUUGUCAUAUAUACCUAAUUAAAAUAAAUUAAUUAAUUUUAAAAAUGUGAUUGUUACUAUUUGCUGGGUGAGGAAACAGUCUCCUGGACCAAAGGCGUGGUUCUGGACUUUAAAAGAACUUGUUAUGUGAUGGGGAACUGUUGUGGUAUGAUCUCUCAAGGAUGGGCUCACUUUAUCUGCAUCCCUGACACGCCCAAAAGCAGCUCCCCAGGGGAAUGGGUAUGCUGGGCCUGCUGUGGGAAGUUGUAUUUAUGUUAAAGGAUCUGUAGGCCCUCACCUUGCCUGGUUAGUCCCCACCCCAGGAAUCAGCUUAAAUUUAAAUGCCAUCUCCUUUGGGAAGCCUUCUGAUUUUCUAAACCAAAUUGGACUCUGCUAUUACAAGUGCACAACUGUUUGACAUUUUGAAUCCUCACUCAGGUAAUUAAGCUAUCUCGUGUUAUUGGUUGUCUUUUCACCUACUUAAGAAUUUUCAGAGCAGGAACUACAUCUACCUGGUUUUUCACAAUAUUCCCAGCACCUGCCCAGCACAGGACUUUGCUGAAGGAUGAAAAGACACAGUAUUGAAAGAAGGGCAGCAAGAUGUACUUUGGCACUGAUGAGUCAUCUGCUACCUGUAGAGACUUUACCAUCAAAGUGAGUUGGUUUUUUUAGGAAUUAGUAUAGGAGAAAACUAGGUCUUUUUGCAUAGACCAGUGGGAGAGAGCCAACAGAGGAAUGGAGGAGAUGCCCCUGAGCCCUCAACUUCAGUAGAAUGGCUGGAGACCCUGCCAUCCAUGCCUACCUACUCUUCCUAGCUAAGUUUGUGGAGCCAUUUUCACUAUCUUGCCCUCCUAGACCUGAUCAUCCCACACACUCCCGCCCCAGGGUUGUGAGGAAUCUCGCCCCACUGUCCCCAAAGAAUGUAGUGCCUUGUGAUUCAUUGACCAGCAAGAAUUUGGUGGUAAAUUCCUUCUCUUUAGAGGUCAGGUAUGUGAUGGGUUAAAUACUUUUGAGCCUUAGUUCUAAUUUAUAUGCAGACUGACAAAGGAACUUUCUCAAAGAAUAAUUUUCCUAAAUGGGGAGCUGACUUUAAUUGACCUUAAUGAAAUUUUAUUAUUUCCUAAUUAAGCAAUGUUUUCAUCUCUAGGGAGUAGAAAUUAAGAAAUUAAAUAGAAGGAAGACCAAUAGAAUAGAGGAAGAGGAUCAGGGAAGGAGGAGAGGAGGGAAAAUACUAGGGAGUGAAAUUAACCAAAUUAUAUUAUGUGCAUGCAUGGAUAUGUAACAAUGCACUAUUAUGUUUAAUUGUGAUGCACCCAUAAAAAAUUUGUGUUGGUGCAUGCCUAUAAUACCAGGUACCUGGGAGACCAAAGCAAGAGAAUUAAAAGAUGGAGACCAGCCUGGAUAACUUAGUG